rnacentral:lncRNA from 1 species
UACAAUCAAUCGUGACCUUCUGGGUAAAAGGAAACGAAACAGAAAAAUUUCUUACUCUAGAAAAUCCAAGAACUGCAGAUCAAAAGAGAACGUCAGCUCUCUGAUUUUUGAAAAGAAAACUCAGUCACUCACCCCAAGGCAAACCCAUAUCAUCCUUUUCAUCCACAUCAGUUUUUUCUGCUUUUUCAUACAUAUAUACACAUUCAUUUGGGCUACAAAAUGUGAAAUUUUCACAUGGGGUUUUUUCAAACCCACUUUUCUCAAAGCAGUUGUUAACAAACAACACUUUCAAUGUUUGAUCCAAGCAAGGUUUUGGGUAAUUAACCAUACAGUUGGGAUUCUUAGCACUUAGUUUGUAAAUAGAAUUUCUUUACUCCAAUUCUUGGCUUGGUUCGUAUCGGUGUGGAAGCUUUGGUUGAAACUCAAGUUUGAUGGAGUUGAGGUCGCUUCGAGUUUUCCGUAGUCUCCGUCUUGUUGAUUCUGCCUUUAAGGCUUGUAAAAUCGAGCAUUGAGGUCCGUUUCUUACUUUUAAUCUCAAAUUUUGUCGGUUCCUGUAAUAAAUAAAUUUUAGCGUUAAAGUUCUAUCAUGUUUUCUUGGAUGAAUUCUGAAUAUCAUCGUGUUUCAUUUUAGUAAUUUGAUUCCAUCUUUGUGCUGAGUAAUUCAGUGAUGGUUUUAAGUUUGAGAAUUG